UAGUAGUAGCACUAGUAGUAGUAGUAGUAGUACAAGAAGAAUUAGUGGUGGAAGAAGAAGAAGAAUUAGUGGUAGACGAAUAAGAAGAAGAAUUAGUGGUAGAAGAAUAAGAAAAAAUAGUAGUAGUAGUAGUAGAAGAAGCAUUAGUGGUAGUAGUCGUAGUGGUAACAAUCUGUUGUGAUCUUGGAUCUACAUCCCUUUGCGAUGCAGUUUUCUUUUCCUAGUAAGAGGGGUUUAAUUAAGUAGCAUUAUUAUUGGUAACAAUUUCAUCCGGUCUAUUAAAAAACUAAAUAACAGACUUUUCCCUUUGUCGAACCUAGCAGAACUAUUUUGAGACCAAGAAAGCCAAUUUCUUACACUUUCAUCCGGUUAGCAACAAACUUUGCCCCUUUCUCACAAAAGUUUCCCUUGUGGAUGCUUUACACAACUGUUG
rnacentral:lncRNA from 1 species